rnacentral:rRNA from 1 species
CGAGUGAAGCGGGAAUGAGCUCAAGCUUAAAAUCUCUGUGCAAGUUUUGCAUGGCGAAUUGUAGUCUAUAGAGGCGCUGUCAGUGCGGCCGCUUGGGGUAAGUUCCUUGGAAGAGGACAGCAUCGAGGGUGAUACUCCCGUUUGUACCUGAGUGGUUUGCGCGUACGACACGUUUUCUUCGAGUCGCGUUGUUUGGGACUGCAGCGCAAAGUAGGUGGUAAAUUCCAUCUAAAGCUAAAUAUUGGUGCGAGACCGAUAGCGAACAAGUACCGUGAGGGAAAGAUGAAAAGAACUUUGAAAAGAGAGUUAAAGAGUACCUGAAACUGCUGAAAGGGAAGCGAAUCGUAUCCAGUGUCUAUAAUCCGUGGCAUAUUUCAUUGGCGAGCGUGUGCGUGCGGCGCGUCGGAAGUGGCUUUUGUCGCUCCGUGUGUUGUUUUGUGCGUGCGUUUGCUGGUGCCCUGUGUCGCGGUGGGACGUCAGAGUCAGUUCGUAUGCUGCGGGAAAUGGCUACUGAGGAGGUAGGACGGGGGCUUGCUCCUGUCUGUUAUAUCUUGGUAGUUAGUGGUCGUGGUUGGGACUGAGGUGCCUACAACGUGCUUUGGAGAGUUCCGGGUUCUCACGUGGUGUGCUGUUUGUAUAGCUUGCUAUGCUUGUGGUGUUCACCGUUUGAUGGAGUCUGGUUUGUUCUUCUUGCCGUUCGGGACUUUGACGAAAUGGAGCGAUUCGGCCCGUCUUGAAACACGGACCAAGGAGUCUAACAUGUGUGCAAGUGUUAGGGUGUGGAAACCCGAGCGCGCAAUGAAAGUAAAGGACAGUGUACUCUGUCUGAGGUAGGAAACCUUUCUUCUGAGAGGUGGCACUAUCGACCGAUCGUGAACCUUCGUGGUGAAAGAUUUGAGUAUGAGCACAUAUGUUGGUACCCGAAAGAUGGUGAACUAUGCCUGAGUAGGGUGAAGCCAGGGGAAACUCUGGUGGAAGCUCGUAGCGAUUCUGACGUGCAAAUCGAUCGUCAAACUUGGGUAUAGGGGCGAAAGACUAAUCGAACCAUCUAGUAGCUGGUUCCCUCCGAAAUUUCCCUCAGGAUAGCAGCAACUUAUUUACGAUAGUUUUAUGAGGUAAAGCGAAUGAUUAGAGGACUGUGGGAAGCAACUUUCUGCACCUAUUCUCAAACUUUAAAUCUGUAAGACCUGCAGGUUUCUUAAUUGAACUUGUGGAUGUGAAUAUCAAGUUGCUAGUGGGCCAUACCGGGUAAGCUGGUCUGGCGAUGCGGGAUGAUCCGAACGCGAAGUUAAAGUGCCAAAAUACCCGCUCACCUAGAUCCCAUAAAAGGUGUUGGUUCAUUUAGACAGCAGGACGGUGGCCAUGGAAGUCGGAAUCCGCUAAGGAGUGUGUAACAACUCACCUGCCGAAUGAACUAGCCCUGAAAAUGGAUGGCGCUGAAGCGAGUUACUUAUACUUUGCCGUUAACACGAUAGCAUGUUUAAUGUAUGUGUUAAUGAGUAGGAGGGCGU